rnacentral:rRNA from 1 species
UAGGGAAUCUUCCGCAAUGGGCGAAAGCCUGACGGAGCAACGCCGCGUGAGUGAUGAAGGUCUUCGGAUCGUAAAACUCUGUUAUUAGGGAAGAACAAAUGUGUAAGUAACUAUGCACGUCUUGACGGUACCUAAUCAGAAAGCCACGGCUAACUACGUGCCAGCAGCCGCGGUAAUACGUAGGUGGCAAGCGUUAUCCGGAAUUAUUGGGCGUAAAGCGCGCGUAGGCGGUUUUUUAAGUCUGAUGUGAAAGCCCACGGCUCAACCGUGGAGGGUCAUUGGAAACUGGAAAACUUGAGUGCAGAAGAGGAGAGUGGAAUUCCAUGUGUAGCGGUGAAAUGCGCAGAGAUAUGGAGGAACACCAGUGGCGAAGGCGACUUUCUGGUCUGUAACUGACGCUGAUGUGCGAAAGCGUGGGGAGCAAACAGG